UACGUAGGUUGCGAGCGUUGUCCGGAAUUAUUGGGCGUAAAGAGCUCGUAGGCGGCAGGGCAUGUCGGAUGUGAAAUCCCGUGGCUCAACCACGGAAGUGCACCCGAAACUGCCCAGCUGGAGUCUCGGAGAGGAAGGCGGAAUGCUUGGUGUAGAGGUGAAAUUCGUAGAUAUCAAGCGGAACACCGGUGGCGAAGGCGGCCUUCUGGACGAUGACUGACGCUGAGACGCGAAAGCGUGGGGAGCAAACAGG
rnacentral:rRNA from 1 species